AUGAACGCUGGCGGCGUGCCUAAUCCAUGCAAGUCGCACGCUUCACUUCGGUGAAGAGUGGCGAACGGGUGAGUAAUACAUAAGUAACCUGGCAUCUACAGGGGGAUAACUGAUGGAAACGUCAGCUAAGACCGCAUAGGUGUAGAGAUCGCAUGAACUCUAUAUGAAAAGUGCUACGGGACUGGUAGAUGAUGGACUUAUGGCGCAUUAGCUUGUUGGUAGGGUAACGGCCUACCAAGGCGACGAUGCGUAGCCGACCUGAGAGGGUGACCGGCCACACUGGGACUGAGACACGGCCCAGACUCCUACGGGAGGCAGCAGUAGGGAAUUUUCGGCAAUGGGGGAAACCCUGACCGAGCAACGCCGCGUGAAGGAAGAAGUAAUUCGUUAUGUAAACUUCUGUCAUAGAGGAAGAACGGUGGAUAUAGGGAAUGAUAUCCAAGUGACGGUACUCUAUAAGAAAGCCACGGCUAACUACGUG
rnacentral:rRNA from 1 species